CAUAGGUUAAUGAGGCGAACCGGGGGAACUGAAACAUCUAAGUACCCCGAGGAAAAGAAAUCAACCGAGAUUCCCCCAGUAGCGGCGAGCGAACGGGGAGCAGCCCAGAGCCUGAAUCAGUGUGUGUGUUAGUGGAAGCGUCUGGAAAGGCGCGCGAUACAGGGUGACAGCCCCGUACACAAAAAUGCACAUGCUGUGAGCUCGAUGAGUAGGGCGGGACACGUGGUAUCCUGUCUGAAUAUGGGGGGACCAUCCUCCAAGGCUAAAUACUCCUGACUGACCGAUAGUGAACCAGUACCGUGAGGGAAAGGCGAAAAGAACCCCGGCGAGGGGAGUGAAAAAGAACCUGAAACCGUGUACGUACAAGCAGUGGGAGCCUCUUUAUGGGGUGACUGCGUACCUUUUGUAUAAUGGGUCAGCGACUUAUAUUCUGUAGCAAGGUUAACCGAAUAGGGGAGCCGAAGGGAAACCGAGUCUUAACUGGGCGUUAAGUUGCAGGGUAUAGACCCGAAACCCGGUGAUCUAGCCAUGGGCAGGUUGAAGGUUGGGUAACACUAACUGGAGGACCGAACCGACUAAUGUUGAAAAAUUAGCGGAUGACUUGUGGCUGGGGGUGAAAGGCCAAUCAAACCGGGAGAUAGCUGGUUCUCCCCGAAAGCUAUUUAGGUAGCGCCUCGUGAAUUCAUCUCCGGGGGUAGAGCACUGUUUCGGCAAGGGGGUCAUCCCGACUUACCAACCCGAUGCAAACUGCGAAUACCGGAGAAUGUUAUCACGGGAGACACACGGCGGGUGCUAACGUCCGUCGUGAAGAGGGAAACAACCCAGACCGCCAGCUAAGGUCCCAAAGUCAUGGUUAAGUGGGAAACGAUGUGGGAAGGCCCAGACAGCCAGGAUGUUGGCUUAGAAGCAGCCAUCAUUUAAAGAAAGCGUAAUAGCUCACUGGUCGAGUCGGCCUGCGCGGAAGAUGUAACGGGGCUAAACCAUGCACCGAAGCUGCGGCAGCGACGCUUAUGCGUUGUUGGGUAGGGGAGCGUUCUGUAAGCCUGUGAAGGUGUGCUGUGAGGCAUGCUGGAGGUAUCAGAAGUGCGAAUGCUGACAUAAGUAACGAUAAAGCGGGUGAAAAGCCCGCUCGCCGGAAGACCAAGGGUUCCUGUCCAACGUUAAUCGGGGCAGGGUGAGUCGACCCCUAAGGCGAGGCCGAAAGGCGUAGUCGAUGGGAAACAGGUUAAUAUUCCUGUACUUGGUGUUACUGCGAAGGGGGGACGGAGAAGGCUAUGUUGGCCGGGCGACGGUUGUCCCGGUUUAAGCGUGUAGGCUGGUUUUCCAGGCAAAUCCGGAAAAUCAAGGCUGAGGCGUGAUGACGAGGCACUACGGUGCUGAAGCAACAAAUGCCCUGCUUCCAGGAAAAGCCUCUAAGCAUCAGGUAACAUCAAAUCGUACCCCAAACCGACACAGGUGGUCAGGUAGAGAAUACCAAGGCGCUUGAGAGAACUCGGGUGAAGGAACUAGGCAAAAUGGUGCCGUAACUUCGGGAGAAGGCACGCUGAUAUGUAGGUGAGGUCCCUCGCGGAUGGAGCUGAAAUCAGUCGAAGAUACCAGCUGGCUGCAACUGUUUAUUAAAAACACAGCACUGUGCAAACACGAAAGUGGACGUAUACGGUGUGACGCCUGCCCGGUGCCGGAAGGUUAAUUGAUGGGGUUAGCGGUAACGCGAAGCUCUUGAUCGAAGCCCCGGUAAACGGCGGCCGUAACUAUAACGGUCCUAAGGUAGCGAAAUUCCUUGUCGGGUAAGUUCCGACCUGCACGAAUGGCGUAAUGAUGGCCAGGCUGUCUCCACCCGAGACUCAGUGAAAUUGAACUCGCUGUGAAGAUGCAGUGUACCCGCGGCAAGACGGAAAGACCCCGUGAACCUUUACUAUAGCUUGACACUGAACAUUGAGCCUUGAUGUGUAGGAUAGGUGGGAGGCUUUGAAGUGUGGACGCCAGUCUGCAUGGAGCCGACCUUGAAAUACCACCCUUUAAUGUUUGAUGUUCUAACGUUGACCCGUAAUCCGGGUUGCGGACAGUGUCUGGUGGGUAGUUUGACUGGGGCGGUCUCCUCCUAAAGAGUAACGGAGGAGCACGAAGGUUGGCUAAUCCUGGUCGGACAUCAGGAGGUUAGUGCAAUGGCAUAAGCCAGCUUGACUGCGAGCGUGACGGCGCGAGCAGGUGCGAAAGCAGGUCAUAGUGAUCCGGUGGUUCUGAAUGGAAGGGCCAUCGCUCAACGGAUAAAAGGUACUCCGGGGAUAACAGGCUGAUACCGCCCAAGAGUUCAUAUCGACGGCGGUGUUUGGCACCUCGAUG
rnacentral:rRNA from 1 species